rnacentral:rRNA from 1 species
CCUACGGGUGGCUGCAGUGAGGAAUAUUGGUCAAUGGGCGAGAGCCUGAACCAGCCAAGUCGCGUGAAGGAUGACGGCCCUAUGGGUUGUAAACCUCUUUUAUAAGGGAAUAAAAUGUGGCACGUGUGCUGUUUUGCAUGUACCUUAUGAAUAAGGAUCGGCUAACUCCGUGCCAGCAGCCGCGGUAAUACGGAGGAUCCGAGCGUUAUCCGGAUUUAUUGGGUUUAAAGGGAGCGUAGACGGGUUGUUAAGUCAGUUGUGAAAGUUUGCGGCUCAACCGUAAAAUUGCAGUUGAUACUGGGAGUCUUGAGUACGUGUGAGGCAGGCGGAAUUCGUGGUGUAGCGGUGAAAUGCUUAGAUAUCACGAAGAACCCCGACUGCGAAGGCAGCCUGCUAAGCCGUGACUGACGUUGAUGCUCGAAAGCGUGGGGAUCAAACAGGAUUAGAUACCCCAGUAGUC